ACUCCUACGGGAGGCAGCAGUAGGGAAUUUUCCGCAAUGGACGAAAGUCUGACGGAGCAAUGCCGCGUGAGUGAUGAAGGUUUUCGAAUCGUAAAGCUCUGUUGUAAGGGAAGAAUAGCAAGAAUAGGAAAUGAUUCUUGUCUGACGGUACCUUACCAGAAAGCCACGGCUAACUACGUGCCAGCAGCCGCGGUAAUACGAAGGGGGCUAGCGUUGUUCGGAAUCACUGGGCGUAAAGCGCACGUAGGCGGAUUGAUAAGUUAGGGGUGAAAUCCCGGGGCUCAACCUCGGAACUGCCUUUGAUACUGUCAGUCUUGAGUCCGAGAGAGGUGAGUGGAACUCCGAGUGUAGAGGUGAAAUUCGUAGAUAUUCGGAAGAACACCAGUGGCGAAGGCGGCUCACUGGCUCGGUACUGACGCUGAGGUGCGAAAGCGUGGGGAGCAAA
rnacentral:rRNA from 1 species